rnacentral:piRNA from 1 species
UUGUUGGGUCAUAUAUUAGCCUGGCUGGCCU